UUGUUUGGUUUGCCACUGAAAGCAUUUCCUCCUCAGACUUCAACUCUAGCUUCCCCGUAAUCCAGUUGUCUAGAAAACCCAACCUCACUGCUCAACUCCACCGUCUAAAUCAUCUGACCACCACCAAUCUCAACUGGCUACUUCUCCCCUGUUUUUCUGGAGCUGAACCCGCUUCAGUCCAAACUUGAUGCUUCAGUUGUUCCAGCAACUCGAUGUUUAAGGUUUUAAGGAUGUCCCAAACUAGAGCUAUGACAGCGACUCUGUGGCACAACCAUUCCUAAUGCAAAACACAAAACCGAUCCCAAACAGUUCAUGUGGUCUGUCCUUGCAUUCCGGAGAGAACUCAAACACAUCAUAUCCCUCCCAUUUCAUUUCAGUCCUAAUAACUACCAUUCACUCCCCUUGAACCCCAUUUUACAGUCUUGCGCUUCUCUUUCAGACCUUAAAUGCAUCCAUGCGAAAAUUAUUGAAACUGGGUAUUGUCAAAACCUCCCCAUUAUAACCAAGCUUGUAUCUUUGGCUUCCUCUACGGCGCCUACCAUGGAUUAUGCAAGGAACCUGUUUGAUGCAAUGCCAGAAAGGGAUGUUUUUCUCUGGAACACCCUGAUCAGGGGCUAUGCUGAUCGGGGACCUUGUCAUGAAGCCAUAGUUUUGUACAGGGAAAUGCAUCGAAGUGGUUUUUCACCCGAUAAAUAUACUUUUCCCUUUGUAGUUCGGUCUUGUGCGGUGCAGUCGGCUUUGACAGAAGGGAAAGAAGUGCAUUGUAACAUAACUAAAAAUGGAUUUAGUUCUGAUCUAUAUGUUCAGAGCUCCUUGGUGAGUAUGUAUGCGCAGAACGGUGAAACUUUGAACUCUGAGUUUGUUUUUAAUGAGAUCGUUGUGAAGAACAUAGUUUCCUGGACUGCAAUGGUAGCAGGCUAUGUAAAAAAUGGGUUCUAUAGAGAAGGGUUGAGAGUUUUGCAAGACAUGUUGGCUUCAGGUUCCCGGCCAAAUGUGGUUACACUGGUGAGCAUCCUCCCUGCUUGUGCUAGUUUAGCAUAUUUGGAUUUAGGAAAACUGAUUCAUUGUCAUGGAGUUAAAGUAGGAUUUGACUCAGAUAUGUCACUCAUGAAUGCUUUGAUUGCAUUUUAUGGCAAGUGUGGGAAUCUUGAAACAUCAAUAUCUUUAUUCGAUGGGAUGGUAGUAAGAAACCUAGUCACGUGGAAUGCCAUGAUUGCUGCUUUUGAACAGAACAAUGCAGGAACAGCCGCAAUAAAGCUCUUUUGUAGGAUGCAAAAUGAAAAUGUGGAGUAUGACUAUAUCACAAUAGUCAGUGUUAUUUCAGCCUGUGCUAGCUUGGGUGCAUUGGACAUUGGGAAACGUUUGCAUGAGAUUGUAGAAAGGAACGGAUUUGGAACCAAUAUUUCAAUCACAAAUGCACUCAUUGACAUGUAUGCAAAGUGUGGGAAUAUUGAUCUGGCCAAGGAUGUUUUUGAGAAAUUGUCACAAAAAAGUGUUGUAUCCUGGACAUCUAUAAUAGGGGCUUGUGCAUCUCAUGGUCAUGGAGAUGAUGCUCUCAUGCUUUUCUCAAUGAUGAAAGAAAAGGGUAUAAAACCAAACAGUUUCACUUUUACAGCUGUUUUGACCGCUUGUAGGCACUCAGGGCUAGUAGAUGAAGGGAGAAAGCAUUUUGAGGGCAUGAUGAAAGAUUACUCCCUUGUCCCUGGUGUAGAGCACUAUUCCUGUAUGGUUGAUCUUCUUGGGCGAGCUGGUUGUUUGUUAGAAGCUUAUAAAUUUAUUGAGAGGAUGCCGGUUGAGCCAGACACUGGUGUUUGGGGAGCUUUACUUGGUGCUUGCAGGACAUAUGGCAAUGUUGAGCUUGGUGAACUUGUGGCAGCCCAUUUGUCUGAACUAGAGCCUCAAAUUACUACUCCCUAUGUACUUAUGUUAAUAAUUUAUGCUGAAGCUGGUAGGUGGGAAGAUGAAGCUAGGUUGAGAAACUUGAUGAGACAGAAGGAGUUGAAAAAAUUACCAGGGCAAAGUUUUGUUGAGGUUGAUCAAAGAUUGUAUACAUUUUUAUCAGGUUCAAGAUCCCAACUAAAAUCCCAACCAAUGCUGACCUCAUGCUAAAUACAUAUGUGCCCUCCAUCUUUGACAUUACUCCUCGCAUCAGUUUCAUUUGGCUCAAAACUCACCAGUAUGAUCUGCAGCAUAUGAUGCUGAUACUUGUGAGACCCAGCCAAGGACAUCAUGACAUAGCAUAUGGCUCUAAAGAGGUAUGUAGUUACCGUGGACUGAGUUAAACUCUUCAUCUUAACUGUGCAUACUGCAUAUUACAUACCGGGGUUACAAGACCUGACGAGGUAUCUUUUUUCUGUAUCUGUAUCUGCAUCCCAUCUAAUCUAUAUCUGUAAGCUUCUGAGAUACGAAGUUUAUAUAUAGUCCCCUCUGGAAAGAGAUAGUUGCACCGUCUUACAUAUAAGUUCUUGCUAAUUAACUUAGUUGAGAGAUAUAUUUAAUUUAUUUCCAUCAAAGUUUAUGCUAGUUUUGUUGUAGAUUCUUUGCUACACAUCUAAUUGUAUGGGAUUAAGAGUUGGAAUACCUUAUUGGAAUAUAUCAAUUUGUGCACUGUUGCUUACGCUUCUGA